UUUCUGUCUAGCUCAGGGAUUGUAAAUGCACCAAUCAGCACCGGGUCAAAACAGACCACUUGGCUCUACCAAUCAGCAGGAUGUGAGUGGGGCCAGAUAAGAGAAUAAAAGCAGGCUGCCCAAGCCAGCAGGGGCAACCCGCGCGGGUCCCUUUCCACUCUGUGGAAGCUUUGUUCUUUUGCUUUUUGCAAUAAACCUUGCUACUGCUCACUUUUUGGGUUAACACUGCUUUUAUGAGUUGUAACACUCACCGCAAAGGUCUGCAGCUUCACUCCUGAGCCAGCUCUGAGACCGUGAACCCACCAGAAAGAAGAAACUCCGAACACAUCCGAACAUCAGAAGGAAUAAACUCCAGACGCGCCACCUUAAGAGCUGUAACACUCACCGCGAGGAUCCGCGGCUUCAUUCUUGAAGUCAGUGAGACCAAGAACCCACCAAUUCCAGAGACACUACUGUGUGGGUUUCUGUGGACAGCAGUUCUGCCAAACUGUUUUCCAGUGUGGCUGUACCAUUUUGCAUUCCCGCCAGCAAUGAAACGAAGUUUCUAAUGCUUCACCUUGUCACCAGUAUUUGAUAUUAUCAGUGUCCUGGCUACUCAAAUAGGAAAAGCUUAAGGGAAAGAUUUUUCUGUGAGCUGGUGCUGAUGUUGUAUGUUCCAGCAGAUCUUCAAAGAAAUGUAAGAUAAUUUAUUGAAAUAAGGAAUAAACUUUUUUCUGAGUUCUACUUGAUUGCCUAAAAGUUACAUUUUUAUAAAGAUAAAAUUUGUACAAUUCA
rnacentral:lncRNA from 1 species